ACAAAUUAAAAAAUAUAAUGUUCAUUCCAAUUAUUACAACUCGAAAUAGAAAAAUGUGGAAAUGUAAACCUAUGCUAACCUACACUAGUCCUAGACUACGUUCCAACGCUUUAACUGAUGCCUCGAGUGUUCGUUACGGACGUCCUCCGAGCACAAAAUACUUUGGGGCAUUCUUUAGUAGAUAAGUACAAUAUACCUUUGGGCCAUUCCCCAACGAAUUAAUACAUCUGAAUCAAACACGAUAAAUUAGAAAACAUUCAGCACACACAUUCAAACAUUCAACAAAACAUCAUGCCUAAAUUUGCCUACCCGAACCUAAACUUUUGCCUAUUAAGCUUUCGACCUAAAAUAUGAUCCUAUCAAGUUCACAAACUAGAUAUUUAUUCCAAAUUAAACAAAACAACAAUAAACCACAAUUAAACUAAAUUCACCCUCUUUAUCAAUUUCUCAAUGCCGCUCCAAUUUCAUGCUCAAUCACACGAUUAACUCAUUCUUUGAUUAAUAAUUUAUUUUUCUCUUCAACAUCCAAAACCAACAUCAACCACACACUCAAUAAAGAUUCAUGUAUGGCAAGCACACUAAAAUAUUCAUCCACAAUCAAAAUUCAAGAUAAAAAUAGAGAAUAAGAGAAGAAAUGGACCUCAAAUUUUGCUUUGAAAAAGUUGAAUUACAGGAUUGAAUGGAGCAUUAUGAAUCUUGAACCUCAAAUAUGACCUAAAAUCUACCUCAAACGAGUCAAGAAAUGAAACGUAACUUGAAGAAAUAUCAGAACCAGUAGAGAAAUUUUAGAAUCAACCUCCACAAGAAAACUCGCCAAUCGAACAACCCAACUAUCUAACCUGAUCCUAUUUUUCACUAAUUUGAACUAAAAUUGCUAAAAGAGAAUGACCCACACCAGGUUUCAUACGAACAUGUCUAGUUUGCUCAGUUUUCGAUGGAUUACCACCUGAGCUAAUAAAAUAUCCGGCUAGAGCUCACUGGUUUACAUUCUCGAAAAGUAACAAUUGUGGUGGCAGAAUAACCGGGUGCUGGUAUAAGGAUUUAGGGGGUUUUAGACCUGAUUUCGAGGGAUUUAGGAGUUUAAGAAGGGUGAAACUGGUGCUUUCACUAGAGCUCCGACGGCGAUGAAUCUCUCAAUUGUCGAUCUCUUCCCUCUCUUAUCUCUCCUCUAAUUUGACUCUUCACCCUUUCUCCCUCUCUGUCGAUCUUUCCCUCUUACUGGUGAGUGUUCUGUGUGUGUGCACAUAUAUGAUAUAAUGGAGAAGAUGAUUCAAUUUCCCCUUCUUUCAGGGUCUAUGGCUAUAUGUAUGUUUUUAUGCUUUCUUCUUCCAUAGAGUGUCAUCUCCUAUAUCAAUGGAAAAAAUCCCUUUUGUGUAUGUGUGUGAUCCGUGUCUUUUUCUUGUGGAGAAUAAAGAAAAAAUCUAGAGUAUCUAUGUAUAUGUGAUGGUCUCUAUUUUGUGUGAAUGUG
rnacentral:lncRNA from 1 species